rnacentral:rRNA from 1 species
GACGAACGCUGGCGGCGUGCUUAACACAUGCAAGUCGAGCGGAAAGGCUCCUUCGGGGGUACUCGAGCGGCGAACGGGUGAGUAACACGUGAGUAAUCUGCCCUUCACUUUGGGAUAGCCCUCCGAAAGGGGGAUUAAUACCGGAUAUGACCACAUGUCGCAUGGUGUGUGGUGGAAAGUUUUUCGGUGGGGGAUGUGCUCGCGGCCUAUCAGCUUGUUGGUGGGGUAAUGGCCUACCAAGGCUUCGACGGGUAGCCGGCCUGAGAGGGUGACCGGUCACACUGGGACUGAGACACGGCCCAGACUCCUACGGGAGGCAGCAGUGGGGAAUAUUGGACAAUGGGCGGAAGCCUGAUCCAGCAACGCCGCGUGAGGGAUGACGGCCUUCGGGUUGUAAACCUCUUUCAGCACCGACGAAGCUUUCGGGUGACGGUAGGUGCAGAAGAAGGACCGGCCAACUACGUGCCAGCCGCCGCGGUAAAAC